AGUGAACGCUGGCGGUAGGCCUAACACAUGCAAGUCGAACGGCAGCACAGUAAGAGCUUGCUCUUACGGGUGGCGAGUGGCGGACGGGUGAGGAAUACAUCGGAAUCUACUUUUUCGUGGGGGAUAACGUAGGGAAACUUACGCUAAUACCGCAUACCACCUACGGGUGAAAGCAGGGGAACUUCGGACCUUGUUCGAUUGAGUUAGCCGAUGUCGGAUUUGUUAGUUGGCGGGGUAAAUGCCCACCAAGGCGACGAUCCGUAGCUGGCCUGAGAGGAUGAGCGGCCACACUGGAACUGAGACACGGUCCAGACUCCUACGGGAGGCAGCAGUGGGGAAUAUUGGACAAUGGGCGCAAGCAUGACCCAGCCAUACCGCGUGGGUGAAGAAGGCCUUCGGGUUGUAAAGCCCUUUUGUUGGGAAAGAAAAGCAGCAGGUUAAUACCCCGCUGUUCUGACGGUACCCAAAGAAUAAGCACCGGCUAACUUCGUG
rnacentral:rRNA from 1 species